GUUUCAGCCAUGCAUUCUUUUGAACAUGGGGUGAGUGGGAUAGUGUGAGGGAGUGGUGUGGCGACGGGCAUUAGAAGAUGGGUAUGGAGGUGUGUAGUGUAGAGAGAUAAGGCUUGGGAUCAGUGGAAGGAGUGGUGAAGAGGAGUAGAUUUAAUGGGUAUGGAAAAUAGGUAUAUUCAAGGGUAAGAAAGACGGGUAUGGGGAUGGGUGUGAAGAGGUUGGAGAAGUGGUUUGGCUUGACUUAAUGGAUAAUGAGAUUGAUGGGUUUUAUUGCUGAAAAUGCUUCAUGACCCGUCUUUAUAGCUGCUUGCAGUGU
rnacentral:lncRNA from 1 species